rnacentral:rRNA from 1 species
UACGUAGGGGGCGAGCGUUGUCCGGAUUCAUUGGGCGUAAAGAGCCCGUAGGCGGCUUGUCAAGUCGGGUGUGAAACCUCCAGGCUCAACCUGGAGACGCCACUCGAGACUGUCAUGGCUAGAGUCCGGUAGGGGAUCACGGAAUUCCUGGUGUAGCGGUGAAAUGCGUAGAUAUCAGGAGGAAUACCGGUGGCGAAGGCGGCCUUCUGGACGAUGACUGACGCUGAGACGCGAAAGCGUGGGGAGCAAACAGG